rnacentral:rRNA from 1 species
AUUGAACGCUGGCGGCAGGCCUAACACAUGCAAGUCGGGCGGUAGCACAGAGGAGCUUGCUCCUCGGGUGACGAGUGGCGGACGGGUGAGUAAUGUCUGGGGAUCUGCCCGAUAGAGGGGGAUAACCACUGGAAACGGUGGCUAAUACCGCAUGACGUCGCAAGACCAAAGAGGGGGACCUUCGGGCCUCUCACUAUCGGAUGAACCCAGAUGGGAUUAGCUAGUAGGCGGGGUAACGGCCCACCUAGGCGACGAUCCCUAGCUGGUCUGAGAGGAUGACCAGCCACACUGGAACUGAGACACGGUCCGGACUCCUACGGGAGGCAGCAGUGGGGAAUAUUGCACAAUGGGCGCAAGCCUGAUGCAGCCAUGCCGCGUGUAUGGAGAAGGCCUUCGGGUUGUAAAGUACUUUCAGCGGGGAGGAAGGCGAUGUGGUUAAUAACCGCGUCGAUUGACGUUACCCGCAGAAGAAGCACCGGCCAACUCCGUGCCAGCCGCCGCAGUAA